UUAUACUCUUAAUCUCAACAUCUUUCUGCAGCAAAGUUCCUUCUUGGCUUACGAAAGCUGCACCAGCUCAUGCUCUCGUCGAAGCCGUUGGAAUGCAUACCCAAGAUGCAAAUCAGUACUCAAGUGCCCACACUUUUCGAAGUUUCAGUUAACCAUUGAAACUGUUCAUAGAGCUGACAAUGGGCACUCAGAAAAUGUUUGUUUCUUU